UCCGUAGGUGAACCUGCAGAUGGAUCAUUUCGAUGAAAACCUUUUUUUCUUGAGGUGUGGCUCGCACCUGUCUAACUAAACUUGAGCUACCUUUUUUCAACACGGUUGCAUCGGUUGGCCUGUCAAACAGUGCGGCGGCGUGAAUUUUCACGUCUGCUUUGGCUGGGCGACGGACCGACACUUAAUCAACACUUUUGAUAAUCUAGGAUUUGAAUGAUAAAAGUUCAUUUUUACAAUGGAAUCGACUGGUAAUGCGGUCGUCUAAUUUUUAAAAACAACUUUUGGCAACGGAUCUCUUGGUUCUCCCAUCGAUGAAGAACGCAGCGAAUUGCGAUAAGUAAUGUGAAUUGCAGAACCGUGAGUCAUCAGAUUUUUGAACGCAUCUGGCGCUGGCUGGGUCUCCAGCCAGCAUGCUUGUUUCAGUGUCUUGUUUUCUCCUCACCCAAAAACUUAAUGCGAGAGAUACCCUUCUCUUGUCAAGCAUGAAAGCACUCUGCGCUCUGCGAGCGGCUUCUGACUAGCUCAGUUGUCGCACUCAAUGCAGCCGUCACAUUUCUUUUAAUGGUGGAACUCCAUUGGAGGAGGCAGGAGGGCUGGUCAGCUCACGGCUGGUCAGGUGGCUUAGGGUCACUUAAACUUUCUUUGCAUCUGAAAUCAAGCAGGAUCACCCGCUGAACUUAAGCAUAUCAAUAAGCGGAGG
rnacentral:rRNA from 1 species